rnacentral:lncRNA from 1 species
ACUACCCUCUCUCCACUAGGUCACUCAACACUAUCUGCUAUUGAGGUACUACCAUAAAUAUAUGAACUGGAAUAAAAGUUUAAAAUAAAAACAAAACAAAAAAUUUCAUGGUUUUUAUAUUAUUUCUGUAAAAAAACAAAUUAAGUUAAAUAAAUAAAAAGAAAAUAAUUAAAAAAGAAAAAAACAAAAAAAAGGAAAACGACAGAAACCCUUCUCCAUCGCCUUCGUCUUCCUCCCCUCACGAACCCGACCUUCCCAAACUCUCUCAGGCGAAAACCUCUCCCUGCUCUCAGAAUCACUAUCCCUCAAACUCACCCAAUCAUCUCUCAAAU